UCGGGAAUAUUGCGCAAUGGAGGGAACUCUGACGCAGUGACGCCGCGUAUAGGAAGAAGGUAUUAGUAUUGUAAACUAUUGUCGUUAGUGAAGAGAGAGGACAGUAGCUAAGGAGGAAGCCCUGGCUAACUAUGUG
rnacentral:rRNA from 1 species